AAUUGAUUAUUAAGACUUUUUAGUCUGUAAUCCUGUCACCUUAGGUCGAUCGGUACCUCAGAUUGAGAGCCUAAUUAAAUAAUGAUUUUUUCAUUACUUUUGAGGCCAUUGAUUUUAGUUCCUAAACUUGUCUAGGUCACACCCAACAAACUUUCUUCUGGGCUAUUAGCUCAGGUGGUUAGAGCGCACCCCUGAUAAGGGUGAGGUCCCUGGUUCAAGUCCAGGAUGGCCCAUUCGUUGUUGGGGGUAUAGCUCAGUUGGUAGAGCGCCUGCUUUGCAAGCAGGAUGUCAGCGGUUCGAGUCCGCUUACCUCCACUGAUCCACUACCUAAUAACUCUUUGAAAAUGAAGAUUGCUUUUUGCUGUGUGAUUUAGAUGUUGUUCGCUGAAUGAACCUAGCUUCAUGUCAUCCCUUGAAAUAGAGGUUGAUAAGACGCUGGGCUCACUGUGGAUCUUUAAUGAUUUACAGAGAUGUUCGGUAGAACCUUGACAACUGCAUAGGUAAGUCUGGAAAGAAUAAAGCAUCUCAUGGAUGCAUAUAUUCUAUUAAUUAAGACUAGAUCUUUUUUAUAGAAUAAAUGUUUAAUUCUUGAGCAAAGAGCCGAGAGCUAA
rnacentral:tRNA from 1 species